UACGUAGGGUGCAAGCGUUAAUCGGAAUUACUGGGCGUAAAGCGUGCGCAGGCGGUUGAUGACAGACAGGUGUGAAUCCGGAACCCGGUUACCACGGUGAACUGCAUUUGUGACUGCACUCGCUGGAGUGCGGCAGAGGGGGAUGGAAUUCCGCGUGUAGCAGUGAAAUGCGUAGAUAUGCGGAGGAACACCGAUGGCGAAGGCAGCACCCUGGGC
rnacentral:rRNA from 1 species